ACGGACAGACAGCGACCUAAACGACACGGGGAACUUCCAGACGGGACAACGAACACAAGGACACCAGAGAUAGGUGGAGAGGGACAGGAUGAAGCGGAUCCCAAGCGGCAGAAGGCAGAAAAUGGGGCGUGGGCCUGAGCCCUGACAGUGGAGUGGCGACCAAGAAGAUUUUCUGCCUUAGAGCAUGGGGUUCACCUUCCUCAGGCUCAGAGCAACCUAGAGGAGCUGAAGCAAGAAUCAGAGCUGGACCCAGAACUAGAGGAGCCGGAGCCAGAGCAGCUCUGAGCCAGAGCCAAGGCGGCCGCAGAUAGCAGCAGCUCAGUCCAAAUAAACUCCCUGUCAGCAAG